CUGCUCACUUUGGCAACACAUAUACUAAAACUGAAACAACACAGAAGAUGAGCAUGGCCCCUGUGCAUGAUGGAUAUACAAAUUCAUGAAGCAUUGCCUAUUAAA